GUGCUUGCUUCAGCAGCACAUAUACUAAAACUGGACCGAUACAGAGAAGAUUAGCCUAGACCCUGUGCAGGGAUGACAUGCAAAUUCGUGAAGCAUUCCAUAUUUUC
ensembl:snRNA U6 U6 spliceosomal RNA